rnacentral:lncRNA from 10 species
AGACAGCGCGAGCUCGCGAGCAGGGGAGGGGGCUCGGGAGCCAGGCCGUCCCUCCCUCUGCCUCCCCGGCAGUGGCCGCCGCCAAGUCCUGUCACCGGGAAAAGGACGGGGCGGAAACUUGCCUCUCGCGCCCCCGAGGAAGGGGCAAAGGUGGACGCAGGGUUGUCCGGGGAGCAGCCCCUGGCCGCGGGGUCCGCAGCAUCUCCGUCGGCAGAGUCCUCUGAGAAGGCGGCCCGGGGAGAGGUGAAGAAGACUAGCUGGAAUAAUAGAAUUAUGUUCCCAAAGCGUUGAGAGGAAAUGGAGAGUUUGUUUAUGGCCUAUCUUCUGCUAAUACCAGUCUGUAGCUUGUCUACAAUGGGGUAGUAGUCACCUGAGGUUUGUCACAAUUCUGAACUCCCGAUUUGCUUUCCUGUCCUCACCCCCAACUGUGAGUUAUCAGGAGUUGUGAUAAUAAAUAAAUAAAUAAAUAAAAAUUUAAAAAAAAGAUUCUCCUUCUUGCUUGCUAUCCCUCCCAUUUUGGCAGAAGUCCAGAGUCUAUCAGUCCUCUGCAAUCGUAGAUUUCACACUUUUUAAAACUACCCAUGAUACCUCUGCAAACAAAUGACUCCCCCCAUUGCAUUCCCGUAUUACCCAAUAAAACGUCUUACGACGGCUGAAGACUUUUUCUUACAAGAAAUAAACAAAAACGUCUGACAGCAUAGUAGAUGAGUUCCAUGCCCAAGUGCUACUCAAUUGCCUGAGCUUGAAUUGAAUUGUGUGACUUAAACGCGCUCUGGUACAAUCUCUGGGUGCCCUCUGAACUUCAGGCUCUUGCUGUAACAGUAGUCUGUCUUGCACUAGAGUUGUUUAUAUGUUUGUCUUUCUCUUUCACUAGAUUGUAAGUGCAACAGAGCCCAAGACCUAGUCUUGUUCUUGUUUGUACAUGCUAUAGCACCUAACAAGGAAUGUAUGAUGUUUGUUGUUUCAUUGAAUUUGUGAAAUAUAAAUAAUAGUAUCUAUUCCGAUCCUCAUGUCCUCUUCCCCACCUCAUCUUCCAAUCCCUUGCUCAUAAAACAUGUUUAUAAAAAACAUCUUCCAUACUUAGAAAGAACUUUGAUUCCCAUGAGACCUCAGAACAAUUGUUUAUUAAAACUAGCCAUAAUUUUUAGUGAAUCAUCACUAUGAUAAUGUAAAAUGAAAAGGUAGAGGAGGCGGUAAAUAAGUUGGCUCAAUGACACAAAUUAAGAAAGGAAGAAGAAGGAAAGAAAAAAGAAGGCAAAGAUAUAGGAACUAGGUAUAUUACCAAGAGAGAACAACAAGGAAAAAAUAUGUGGGUGCAGAUCAUAAAGGGGAAGGAAAUUAUUGAAAUUUAGUGGAAGUAGAAAUAACAUACCGUGAAUGGAUGAGGCAAGGAAACACCAAAAAUGUCAGCAGAAUCAUAAAUGCAGCAUGGAAAAGUAAAGAAAAUGACAAAUUAUAUAUUUAACAAUAUAACCUAGGAAUAAUCAGAACAAUAUGACUGCUACAAGACAAGAAUUUCUAUUUUUGUCUGCCUUUUCUUCCACAGUUUUCAAAGUACUCACUUUUUUCAUAAGUAAACUGCAUAAAAGUGGGAGAUUCUAUACUAUUUUUGAGUUAAUACUACUAGCAUACAUCAUGAGAUUAGAGGUAACAGUAUGGUAAAAAAGAGCUAUAGAAUAUAAGCAAAUAAAUAUGAUGUGAAGUGGUCUCUGUAAGUUACUGUGUGACCUCAAACAAGUCACUAAAUAUCGCAAUUUCCUCAUCUGUGUAAUUGUUGCAAGACUCAAAAUGGUGUAAAUAAAUGUACUUUGUUAACUAUCAAGCUCUUUAUACAGAUGUAAGGGAAUAUUAUUAUGUCAGCUAAUAUGUAGCACAGUUAUCUCUGUUUUGGUGCAUUCCUAAAUUGCCAAAGCAAAAAUCUAUAGUUCAUUCUAUUAAAAUGUAAUCAUAGGGUGGGGGCGUCAGUUAAAACAUUUGUUUGUCAAUUUGAUUAUUGAACGACUGUGAUGAAAUGUUUCAUUCUUAUUGUUUGCUCUCUUCUAAAUCCCUUAAAUAGUAUAACUACAAUAAACAAAUGUCUAAUAUAAGUCAAGCAUAUUACAUAAAUUUUUUCCUUACUGAAGUAGUCAUUGUAUGUAUAUUAUUCUCAUUUUAUGUACAAUAAAGCUGAGCUUCAGAGACUUCAA